CAAUAGCGUAUAUUAAAGUUGUUGCGGUUAAAAAGCUCGUAGUUGGAUUUCUGUUGAGAGCAGCGCGUCUACCUUUUGGGUAAGUAUGUUGCUUGGUCUCGGCAUCUUCGUGGAAGACGUUUCUGCGCUUGAUUGCGUGGGGCGGGGUUCACGACUUUUACUUUGAGGAAAUUAGAGUGUUCACGGCAGGCAUACGCCUUGAAUAUAUUAGCAUGGAAUAAUAAGAUAGGACCUCGGUUCUAUUUUGUUGGUUUCUAGAGCUGAGGUAAUGAUUAAUAGGGAUAGUUGGGGGCGAUUCGUAUUUAACUGUCAGAGGUGAAAUUCUUGGAUCGUGUUGCGACGAACUACUGCGAAAGCAUUUGCCAAGGAUGUUUUCAUUGAUCAAGAACGAAAGUAAGGGGAUCGAAGACAUUAGAUACCGU
rnacentral:rRNA from 1 species